rnacentral:rRNA from 1 species
UACGAAGGGGGCUAGCGUUGCUCGGAAUUACUGGGCGUAAAGGGCGCGUAGGCGGAUAGUUUAGUCAGAGGUGAAAGCCCAGGGCUCAACCCUGGAAUUGCCUUUGAUACUGGCUAUCUUGAGUUCGGGAGAGGUGAGUGGAACUGCGAGUGUAGAGGUGAAAUUCGUAGAUAUUCGCAAGAACACCAGUGGCGAAGGCGGCUCACUGGCCCGGUACUGACGCUGAGGUGCGAAAGCGUGGGGAGCAAACAGG